rnacentral:rRNA from 1 species
ACGAACGCUGGCGGCAUGGAUUAGGCAUGCAAGUCGAACGCUUGUAGCAAUACAAGAGUGGCGCAAGGGUGAGGAACACGUGAGUAAACUGCCCUUUAGAUGGGAAUAACUCUACGAAAGUGGAGCUAAUACCGAAUGUGGCCUGCACCUCGCAUGAGGUGCAGGCUAAAGAUUUAUUGCUAAAGGAUGUGCUCGCGUCCCAUUAGCUAGUUGGUGAGGUAACGGCCCACCAAGGCAAUGACGGGUAGGUGGUCUGAGAGGAUGGUAACCCACACUGGGACUGAGAACGGCCCAGACUCCUACGGGAGGCUGCAGUCGAGAAUCUUCCGCAAUGGGCGAAAGCCUGACGGAGCAAUGCCGCGUGCAGGAUGAAGGCCUUCGGGUCGUAAACUGCUGUCACCGGGGAUGAAAAAUGACAGUACCCGGGGAGGAAGUCACGGCUAACUACGU